CUAUUUCAAUGCUAAAAGUCACUUUUUAUUUUUUUUUUUGUAAAAACAAUUUUUUUCAUGAUCCCAGAAUCGAAACUAAGUUUCAGUGUCUUUACAGCCAAUCGAAACAAGCUAAUUUCAAGCCGAUGCUGCAAACAACUGCUGGCGAAUUCGUAAUUCACAAAUGUCUUCAUACAGCGGACAGAAACAUGUUUCUGCCCGGUGUCAGUUAUAUAUAAUGUUCAUUUGCAGCCUUAUUACUCUCAUUUGUUUACUUGUCACUUCAGCUUUCUCAUUUCAUUUUUCAAGUGACAUUUUUAAUUAACCAAAUAAAAUUAAUAAAAAAGUGAGUGAAAAUAAUAUUUUUGUCUUAUUUACUAUUUAAUAAGUGACUGUAAAUCACAGAUUUCUCAGUCUCUAACAGCUCUCCGCAUCUUUGACUUGAAAUGAACUUAUUUCUUACUGGCUGCUGACAAUGAAUCUUGAAGUUUCGAUGCAGUUGCUGAAGAAGUCCCAAUAAAGGGACGAAACGUCCAAUUUAUGGUCAAAAAUUCUAAUUUUUGAAUUACUGUCCACCUCCCUAUGAUUUUACUAUUUCAUUUAAAAUAAUAUUUUUAUUUUAUAAAAGAUCACACCAUUAGUUUGAAAUUAACUUUUUUCUUACUACCUGCUGACACUGAAACUUCAAGUUCUAAUGCAGAUGAUCAAGAUGCCGGACUUUAUAUACCCCCUAUCGCCGUUAUAAUCAAUGCCGGAAGUGUGACCAUUGAGGGUUAAAAUAAAUAUCAAGUACUUACUCCAUUAAAAUCAUUUCCCAUUUGCGGCAUACGUACUCCAGGUCUAGGUCCAGCAGGAUACCUAGGUCCCAUAAACUGUAACAGUAAUUAAUAUAUAUAAACUUUUUCCAUCGACAUUGAAACCCUUAAUGAAUGUUAUUUUUUAAAAAUAUGAGUACUUAUUAAAUAAAUAUAUAUACAUAUUUUCAGUAAAUUAUACAAGUAUAUAUAUAUUUUUAUUUUUAAUUGGCAAGUUGUGCAAUUCAAAUUUAAAUUGUUAUGAUUUUAAUAAAAAUAUCUACUCGC